UACGUAGGGCGCAAGCGUUGUCCGGAAUUAUUGGGCGUAAAGAGCUCGUAGGCGGCUUGUCACGUCGGGUGUGAAAGACCGGGGCUUAACCCCGGUUCUGCAUUCGAUACGGGCUGGCUAGAGUGUGGUAGGGGAGAUCGAAUUCCUGGUGUAGCGGUGAAAUGCGCAGAUAUCAGGAGGAACACCGGUGGCGAAGGCGGAUCUCUGGGCCAUUACUGACGCUGAGGAGCGAAAGCGUGGGGGAGCGAACAGG
rnacentral:rRNA from 1 species